rnacentral:rRNA from 1 species
UUGGACGGGGCCCGCACAAGCGGUGGAGCAUGUGGUUUAAUUCGACGCAACGCGAAGAACCUUACCAGGGCUUGACAUCCCCUGACCGCGUAUGAAAGUACGUUUUCACCCUCGGGUGACAGGGAGACAGGUGGUGCAUGGUUGUCGUCAGCUCGUGUCGUGAGAUGUUGGGUUAAGUCCCGCAACGAGCGCAACCCUUGUCAUUAGUUGCCAUCAUUUAGUUGGGCACUCUAAUGAGACUGCCGGUGACAAACCGGAGGAAGGUGGGGAUGACGUCAAGUCCUCAUGGCCCUUAUGGGUAGGGCUUCACACGUCAUACAAUGGUCGGUACAGAGGGUUGCCAAGCCGCGAGGUGGGGCCAAUCCCUUAAAGCCGAUCGUAGUCCGGAUCGUAGUCUGCAACUCGACUACGUGAAGUCGGAAUCGCUAGUAAUCGCAGAUCAGCAUGCUGCGGUGAAUACGUUCCCGGGUCUU